AGAAGGGAUAUAAUUUAGGCUGCUAACUUAAAUUUGGGGUUAAUACUUCUCCACCUUCUUU
rnacentral:tRNA from 1 species